rnacentral:other from 1 species
AAAGUCCUGAGGUGUACGUGAUUCGACCUAACAGUUUUGACCGAACAUUUACACAUAGGGAGCUUGGAGUUUUCAAGUGGCGUACAUGCCUCAUUUAAAUUUGGCAAUCCUGCCAAUAGAGGACGUACAAUAUUUGAAACAGAGCACCCACCUGCCUUUAGCGGGUUCAAAACAAGGGGGAAAUUACGACACGGAUCGGGACUUUC